rnacentral:miRNA from 1 species
UUGAUAAGAUAGAAAUUGUAU